AGUGACAAGAAAUAACAAUACAGGGCCUAACGGUCUUGUAAUUGGAAUGAGUGAAGUAUAAACCCCUUUACGAGUAUCAAUUGGAGGGCAAGUCUGGUGCCAGCAGCCGCGGUAAUUCCAGCUCCAAUAGCGUAUAUUAAAGUUGUUGCAGUUAAAAAGCUCGUAGUUGAUUUUCUGUUAAUUUUUAUGUAUAAUAUUGCGAUAUUUACAUAAUAUUAACAUAAUUCACAUUACUUUACAGUAUGUGGAAUUUUACUUUGAGAAAAUUAGAGUGCUUAAAGCAGG
rnacentral:rRNA from 1 species